UAAUUAGGGUUCAUUAACUUAAUUUUACUUUUCGUUCAUCUUUUAUGAAAUUUUGUCAUAACUUCAUUAUACCUAAGUUCAAUUCGUUCUUCAUGAACGUUUCUCUAAAUCCUAACCAAGCAAUAAUCAACUAACUUAUACGCGAUGAUUUUAAAUUUUUUCAUCAACAACAAGUUCUAAUUACGAAUGUUUUAAAUUUGUC
rnacentral:lncRNA from 1 species